rnacentral:rRNA from 1 species
CGGGGGGCAGCAGUGGGGAAUUUUGGACAAUGGGCGAAAGCCUGAUCCAGCCAUGCCGCGUGCAGGAUGAAGGCCUUCGGGUUGUAAACUGCUUUUGUACGGAACGAAAAGACUCCUUCUAAUACAGGGGGUCCAUGACGGUACCGUAAGAAUAAGCACCGGCUAACUACGUGCCAGCAGCCGCGGUAAUACGUAGGGUGCAAGCGUUAAUCGGAAUUACUGGGCGUAAAGCGUGCGCAGGCGGUUAUGUAAGACAGAUGUGAAAUCCCCGGGCUCAACCUGGGAACUGCAUUUGUGACUGCAUAGCUAGAGUACGGUAGAGGGGGAUGGAAUUCCGCGUGUAGCAGUGAAAUGCGUAGAUAUGCGGAGGAACACCGAUGGCGAAGGCAAUCCCCUGGACCUGUACUGACGCUCAUGCACGAAAGCGUGGGGAGCAAACAGGAUUAGAUACCCCGGU